AGUGAACGCUGGCGGUAGGCCUAACACAUGCAAGUCGAACGGCAGCACAGUAAGAGCUUGCUCUUACGGGUGGCGAGUGGCGGACGGGUGAGGAAUACAUCGGAAUCUACUUUUUCGUGGGGGAUAACGUAGGGAAACUUACGCUAAUACCGCAUACGACCUACCGGUGAAAGCAGUGGAUCUUCUGACCUUGCGCGAUUGAAUGAGCCGAUGUCGGAUUAGCUAGUUGGCGGGGUAAAGGCCCACCAAGGCGACGAUCCGUAGCUGGUCUGAGAGGAUGGUCGGCCACACUGGAACUGAGACACGGUCCAGACUCCUACGGGAGGCAGCAGUGGGGAAUAUUGGACAAUGGGCGCAAGCCUGAUCCAGCCAUACCGCGUGGGUGAAGAAGGCCUUCGGGUUGUAAAGCCCUUUUGUUGGGAAAGAAAAGCAGCAGGUUAAUACCCCGCUGUUCUGACGGUACCCAAAGAAUAAGCACCGGCUAACUUCGUG
rnacentral:rRNA from 1 species